AUUGAACGCUGGCGGCAUGCCUAACACAUGCAAGUCGAGCGAGUGAUGGGAGCUUGCUCCUGGAUUCGUCCGCAGACGGUUGAGUAAUGCCUAGGAAUCUGCCUGGUAGUGGGGGAUAACGUCCGAAAACGGGCGCUAAUCCCGCAUACGUCCUGUGGGCGCAAGUGGGGGAUCUUGAGUUUUCACGCUAUCGGAUGAGCCUAGGUCGGAUUAGAUGGGUGGUAGGGUAAAGGCCUACCAAGGCUACGAUCCGUAGCUGGUCUGAGAGGAUGAUCAGUCACACUGGGACUGAGACACGGCCCAGACUCCUGCGGGAGGCAGCAGUGGGGAAUAUUGGACAAUCGGCGAAAGCCUGAUCCAGUAAUGCCUCGUGAGUGAUGAAGGCCGGAGGGUUGUAAAGCUCUUUUACCCGGGAUGAUAAUGACAGUACCGGGAGAAUAAGCUCCGGCUAACUCCGUG
rnacentral:rRNA from 1 species